rnacentral:tRNA from 1 species
GCCCUGGUGGCUCAACAGUUAAGCACUUGGCUGCUAACCAAAAGUUUGGUAGUGCGAACCCACCUAGUGGCU